GACGAACGCUGGCGGCGUGCUUAACACAUGCAAGUCGAACGGAAAGGCCCUGCUUUUGUGGGGUGCUCGAGUGGCGAACGGGUGAGUAACCCGUGAGUAACCUGCCCUUGACUUUGGGAUAACUUCAGGAAACUGGGGCUAAUACCGGAUAGGAGCUCCUGCUGCAUGGUGGGGGUUGGAAAGUUUCGGCGGUUGGGGAUGGACUCGCGGCUUAUCAGCUUGUUGGUGGGGUAGUGGCUUACCCAGGCUUUGAGGGGUAGCCGGCCUGAGAGGGUGACCGGCCAAAUUGGGACUGAGAUACGGCCAAGCCUCCUACGGGGGGCAGCAGUGGGGAAUAUUGCACAAUGGGGGGAAGCCGGAUGCAGCAACGCCGCGUGCGGGAUGGCGGCCUUCGGGUUGUAAACCGCUUUCGCCUGUGACGAAGCGUGAGUGACGGUAAUGGGUAAAGAAGCACCGGCUAACUACGUG
rnacentral:rRNA from 1 species